rnacentral:rRNA from 1 species
UGGGCAACCUGCCCUCAGCUCUGGGAUAACUCCAAGAAAUUGGGGCUAAUACCGGAUAUGACCGCUGACCGCAUGGUCUGGUGGUGGAAAGAUUUAUCGGCUGGGAUGGGCCCGCGGCCUAUCAGCUUGUUGGUGGGGUAGUGGCCUACCGAGGCGACGACGGGUAGCCGGCCUGAGAGGGUGACCGGCCACACUGGGACUGAGACACGGCCAGACUCCUACGGGAG